UGGGCUUGGAGCUGUGAGGGAAUUCGGAGUGGCCACCCGUUCUGAAAGUUUGAUUUUCUUCUGGGAGUUUUUGGGCUAUGCAGGGGCGGUGUUGCAACACAUGCUUGCAGUUUUGGAACAUUAGGUCCGGUGUCACGACAUCAAAGUUAUUAAAGCUGAAGGAGAAGGUAUAAACAUCAAAGGAAAGUUUAACUGGAUAGAGGAGCAUUCAACUU